UGUUUGUUUACACAUACAUGUUCCAAAUAUGACUCUUUUCUCUCAUACGGGUACUUUGAGUGUUUUCAGGAAUUUUGUACAAGUAAAUUUUCACACCUUUUUCGAUAACAACUACCCUAUUUAUAUACAAAUAACAUAACUGUUACUAACGACCAAAUCCUAAAACUGUGACACAUGGCUUUCUUCCUUUCGCCAGAUGCUU
rnacentral:lncRNA from 1 species